rnacentral:rRNA from 1 species
UUCGCAAUGCCCGAAAGGGUGACGAAGCGACGCCGCGUGUGGGAAGAAGGCCUUCGGGUUGUAAACCACUGUCGGGAGUUAAGAAAUGCAAGGAUAUUAAUAGUGUCUUUGUUUGACUAAGGCUCCGGAGGAAGCCACGGCUAACUCUGUGCCAGCAGCCGCGGUAAUACAGAGGCGGCAAGCGUUGUUCGGAAUUAUUGGGCGUAAAGAGCGCGUAGGCGGCUAUGUAAGUCGGUUGUGAAAGCCUUCCGCUCAACGGAAGAACAGCAUCCGAUACUACAUGGCUUGAGUGCGGGAGGGGAGAGUGGAACUUCUGGUGGAGCGGUGAAAUGCGUAGAUAUCAGAAGGAACGCCGGCGGCGAAAGCGGCUCUCUGGCCCAUAACUGACGCUGAGUGUGCGGAAGCUAGGGGAGCAAACGGGAUUAGAUACCCCGGUAGUCCUAGCCGUAAACGAUGGGCACUAAGUAGAGGGGUUUU